rnacentral:lncRNA from 1 species
UGUGGAGACGCCUGCACGCAAGGUGCUCACCCGCCUGUGCUUUUCUGUGCAGAAGGCUGUUUGACAUCAGAACAAGGCUCACUCCCCUCACGUACAGCAGAACCUUGCUCCCAGCCAGAGGCAGUUGUCAAAGGCCUUCACCAAGGCUUGCUGGCUGCUCCCGGAGUCUGAUGUGACACAUGAAGUAGAAGAGCAAAAAGAGUUCAGAGAAUGGUACAUAGCCAAGUGGGGGAAGGGAGGGGAGAGAUGUGUGAGCCUUCCUGUUCUCUUUCCAAGCUGGACACCUUUUUGUUUUUUUAAAUUCAGUCGUUUAUUUUUUUUAAUUAUUAUUAUUAUUAUUUGCUUGAGAAUAUAACAAAAACAAGACAUACUGAGGUAGAAGGAAGUCAUUUAGUCAUGAACACUGAAGUGAGUUAGGAGUCUGUUCUGGGUCAAAUCCUUGGAUCUGAGCAGAUGUCGAUAAUUAGUGGUGAUGGAGCAGGGUGAGGUUUUCAGUGUUAGUCAAAUAAAUCAAACAACAUGUGCACCUCUUUGGUCAGGCUCCACUGCUUGUAGUCCCUGGAUGAUUGGAUGCUGCAUCUGCCCAAGAUGCCGCUCCAUCAUCAUGUGAUAGUCGUUACACACAGGGCCUCUUCUCGGAGGAGUUAGGGAACAUGGAGAAUUAAGCCUUAGGUCUGUCUCUUCCUUCACUGGCCAUCUGCAAGCCCACUGAGUGUCACUUCUGAGCUGCUAGGCUGCUAGGAGACAGACACCAGUUCAUGUCCUGGCAGUUUGUCCUGCUACAUGUUUGGUAUUUUUUAAAUUUUUUAAUUUUUUCUCCAGUUUAUAGGAAAGCUAUGGCAUAUUCCUGGUGUACUUUAUUUCUGAAAAGUUUCAUUUCUUUCCUUGUUUGAAAACAAAAAAGAAAAGUUUUUUUUCCCCCCGUGUUUGUUUGUUUUUUUUUUUGAAUUCCUAUCCAUGGAAAGCCUUCUCUCUGGGGAUGUUUGCAUGUAGGUCUGUGCUCGUUUACUCUGUAGCACCUACAAAGGUAACUUCAGGCAGAGUGACUAUGGAAUAAAGUCUGCAUUGAGUGGUGGAGAGAUGUUCUGGGGGGAGGGGACUCUUGGGGAGUUCUUCUCAGUGAUGAAUGCACUUCAGUCUUUGGGAGAAACCCAGGUGUAGAUCAUGCCUGGCUGCUCUCCUAAGAACCGAAAAUGGAGGCUCCAACAAGUCAGUGAGAAUCAGAGGUGUUGAUGUGGGCGCUGGGGGGUCAGUUCUCUUUUCAGUUUUCCAUACAAAUGGUUAAUGAAUUUUGAAGGUGUGGUUAGUUUUUUAUUUCAUUUUUAUAACAUUAAUUUAUGACUUGAGUUUCAUUCAGCCCAGUAAUCAAAAGUGCUGUGCAAAUUCUCGCAGUAUGUCUUCUAUAACGUGGAUGUUAGAAUAGCCAAUAUGUACAAAAAAGAAUUAAAUCAAGUAUUUUGUCCUAUGUAUAACACAAAUUAAUUUUACACAGAGAAAGAUGUUUCUAGGAAAAUGAAAUUCUGGUAAUUCAUACUUUUUCUUUGUAUGAACAAAUAAAAUAUAUUUUACC